GUUAGACGUAAUUGGCACAACUGAGAACAUCUGUCAUAGCAAGGCAUCAUGAUUAUUCUACUCCUCAGCAUCUAUUUUAAAUGUAAUCUAGUUACAGUUUCCUCUUCAAGUGAUAAAGUCAACCAGACUCCAGCAAAUAUUUACACAAACGGAGAAGAAGCUAAAAUCUACUGCUCACACAGUAUUACAAACUAUAACACAAUUCUCUGGUACAAGCAGUCA